rnacentral:lncRNA from 14 species
GGGAGCUCUCAUGAAUGUCUCCCAAUGCUUCAUAUCUUUAUUUCUUAGACUUUGUAUUUGCUUGCUUUUCUUGGUUUUUAUCUAGAAUUCUCCAUUCCUAAGCCAAGCCUGGAGGCUUUCUACCAUUUUUUCCAUGGAGCAAGUGUCAUUCUUCCCCCUUACAAAGUCUCCACUUUAUUUCAAGUCUGCUGAAAAUGUUUUUUCUUUGCAUAUUUCUUUUUGUUGUUAUUUGUUUCUUCAAUUGCAUUAUUUAACUGUCUGUCUAGAGGGUACAGGAGCUGUUUCUGCAUUCCAGACUCGCCUAAAUUCCUGUUAACUCAAUGGAUGUUUUGAGUGUGCAAGGAUGGGGCUAAGAAUUGUGUUCUAUAUUCUGCACUUCAGAAGUCUUCCCAAGUAUCAACACUUACAAUUGAAACUUCAAAGCAAACAAGCAGCAGAUACAGUACGGAUGAAAUGCAUAUGAAAUGCCUCUGAACUCUGCGUGGUAGGAUGGAACUCACAGAGUCAUUUAUCAUCACCUGUCCCCACAUCCUUGCUUCAAGUUGCUGUGGAGGAAACCACUUAACAUCAAACCCCCGACUGACUAGAAAUGAAAAGAAUGCAGUGAUUUUAAGAGUUGAAAGCCACAGUAGAUCCCCAGAGAAGACUGCACAUCUCAUGAUCUCUGAUGGAGGGACAGCACCAACCUCUCGUAAGUUACCCACCUCAGAAGAGCCAGUACAGUGA